AUCCUCCCAUCCCCUUCUUGGUCUGCCCAGUGGUCGAUUUCUAGAAGAAUUCCCCAUCAAAAUUCUGUUAUCAACCCUCGCCUCCACUUUACCACAGUUAAUAUCGAAAUAAAUAAGGAGCCUGUUUAUCUCUCAGUAUGACAACCAUUUACCUGAAGACGGGGUGCAGGUGACUCACGAAACGUCGUGUGUAGCACAGAAAAUGGGCAAUACCUAAAUAUCCGCGAUGUAAGAAAACAGCUUUAAAAAAUUAGUAAUCACCUAAGUAGUACUGCGUUAUCAAUUGAUAUUCUAACGCCUGGUUUCCUAUUUAUUAAGUAAAAUAUUAGAACGCUCAACGCAUAUAUAUAUCACAUUUCCGGUAAUUAUAGACUUAAUUAACAGGGCAUAAAUUUCGCAACAGAACAGGGUCUAUACUUCCUGCAGCUCUAUCAAAAACACACUGGCCGGAAGUCUUAACGCUACCGACGCCAUCAAUUCAUUCCAAAUUGUGGUUAAUUAUAAUAACAGAUAGCCAGCUGAUGACCUUCAAAUAUUUUAAAGUCACACGUUUUAAGAUAAUCUCAGCUUCCUCUGUCUUAAAAUUUGUAACUUAACCAACUUCCUUGGUCAUAUAUAAUUACGACGCAGUUCUGAUACUUUGCUUGUUGAAGAAAAGAAGAAAUCCUGAGUAGUGCAUAACAUUUAUCCAAGUUUAGGCUACACAGAAUAGAAGUGAUUUAUUUCUCCAUCAAAUAUUUGUCGGCAAGUACAAAUUUUGUAUUUUUAUCACUGAGACAGAUAACACGUUUCACAAUAUUAAAUAACUUCUUUGGUGUGACGGAAACUAGAGGUAACAGGUCUACAUCAAACAACGCUCUUCUCGUGGUUAACACAACACUGAAAGAGAAACAUGACAAAAUCUGUGACGUUUCUCUUCCUGGUGUCCAUUCUGAUCUUCACAAUUGUAUUACGUCUGAAUCCCCCUGCUGAAGCUGUGCCCUUAAGCUUUCCUCACAGGAACAAUAAGCCAGACGAUUCAGUGACCUCUGCUGAGUCACAGAGCAACGCAAAAUGUCCCAGAGGCUAUCGCCUGAUUCAUGGCGGCUGCCGCAGAGUGUACGGGAGACGAUGACUGCUGAAUUUCCUUCUGGGUCAAAGAAUGUAUAUACAAGAGGUUCGGGAUGACGUGAUAUCAUGAUUUGUUCAUCAAGAUGUGCCGCCAUCUAGACACCACUUCGUGGACUUGAAGAGGACCAAAUCUCUUUUAUAAUUCAAUCUUUCAUCAUCCAUUUUUAUGCAUAUAUCUGCUUUUAUAUAAUCGUGAAAAAUUUCUGGAUUUAAUUUUAGUAUACAAACAUGUACUCACAGGUUGCAGGAAGACAUAAGAAUCAUAACAUUUAUACUAAGUAUUUAUGUUUUAAAUAUACCGAUAUGCAAGAUAAAUUCUUGUGUAAUAUUAUAUUAUGUCACGAAAUUAAAUAACUGGCAAGGACCUGUAAUGCAAAACACUUUAAACAUUAGUUUUUUACGUUAAAAUUCAAUACACUACCAACAUUUAACAGAUGGAGAUAGUAAAUUUAUACUGACACCGCGUUAUUAAAGUCAGAAAGAGAUCACAAACUGAUGGUAGGAAAACAGAUUUUAUUGGGUUUAAUAAAUUAUUAAAAAAAAAUCGUCACACACAUCAACAAAAACAUUAAACUUUCUGUUCUAUUUUGUUUUAUAUCUUAAUUCACUUGCAACAAAAACACGGAACAAGGAAAUCAAAAUAUUCUUCUUGCGGAACAUAAAUUACUUUAUAACUUACAGUUUCGUCCUUGACUCUAUUUUAUCAAAGUUUUUGUAAAAAAACGGAGCUAUAAAUUAAUUUCUUUCACAUAU